rnacentral:rRNA from 1 species
CUAUCUACNUGCACCAUUCUACAGAUGAUGCAAGAUCGCACUAUGUCGAAUAAAAUUCUAGGUAGAAUUAUGAUAAUGACAUUGUCUGCCUAUGUGUCUUGACCAAAUUACGUGCCAGCAGUCGCGGUAAUACGUAGAAGACUAGUGUUAUUCAUGUUUAAUCGGUUUAAAGGGUACCUAGACGGUGAAUCAAGCUUUUGCAUGUAAAUUAUGCUAAUUAAAGGACUAGUUUGCUAGAGUUACUUACGAGGGGGUAUUAAAGUACUGCUGGUGUAGAGAUGAAAUUCUGUCAUACCUCUUUUCGAAAGAAAAAUCAUGGCACAGGUAUAGGCGAAGGCAUCCCCUUAUGUGAUAACUGACGUUGAGGGACGAAGGCCUUGUGUAACAAACAGGAUUAGAUACCCUAGUAGUUGAAGCAGAAAAUGAUGAAUGUCAUAGAUUAGAUAUAUAAGUUUAUUCUAUAAAUGAAAGUGUAAGNAUUCCACCUCAUGAGUNAUUUGGCNACNUUGGAACNGAAAUCAU